UACGUAGGGGGCAAGCGUUAUCCGGAUUUACUGGGUGUAAAGGGAGAGUAGGCGGCAAGGUAAGCGAUAUGUGAAAGCCUUAGGCUUAACCAAAGGAUUGCAUAACGAACUAUCUAGCUAGAGUACAGGAGAGGAAAGCGGAAUUCCUAGUGUAGCGGUGAAAUGCGUAGAUAUUAGGAAGAACACCAGUGGCGAAGGCGGCUUUCUGGACUGAAACUGACGCUGAGGCUCGAAAGCGUGGGGAGCGAACAGG
rnacentral:rRNA from 1 species